UUUUCCACAAUGGACGAAAGUCUGAUGGAGCAACGCCGCGUGCAGGAUGAAGGCCUUAGGGCCCUAAACUGCUUUUAUAUGUGAAGACUUCCGACGGUAGCAUAUGAAUAAGGAUCGGCUAACUCCGUGCCAGCAGCCGCGGUCAUACGGAGGAUCCAAGCGUUAUCCGGAAUUACUGGGCGUAAAGAGUUGCGUAGGUUGCAUAGUAAGUUGGUAGUGAAAUAGUUCCGCUCAACGGAAUAAACAUUAUCAAAACUGCUAAGCUAGAGUAUGAGAGAGAUCACUGGAAUUCCUAGUGUAGGAGUGAAAUCCGUAGAUAUUAGGAGGAACACCAAGGCGUAGGCAGGGACGGCUCGUUACUACAUGGGCGGAGGUGCUCAUCG
rnacentral:rRNA from 1 species